rnacentral:rRNA from 1 species
AUUGAACGCUGGCGGCAUGCCUUACACAUGCAAGUCGAACGGCAGCACGGGAGCAAUCCUGGUGGCGAGUGGCGAACGGGUGAGUAAUAUAUCGGAACGUGCCCAGUCGUGGGGGAUAACGUAGCGAAAGCUACGCUAAUACCGCAUACGAUCUAUGGAUGAAAGCGGGGGAUCGCAAGACCUCGCGCGAUUGGAGCGGCCGAUAUCAGAUUAGGUAGUUGGUGAGGUAAAGGCUCACCAAGCCGACGAUCUGUAGCUGGUCUGAGAGGACGACCAGCCACACUGGAACUGAGACACGGCCCAGACUCCUACGGGAGGCAGCAGUGGGGAAUUUUGGACAAUGGGCGCAAGCCUGAUCCAGCAAUGCCGCGUGCAGGAUGAAGGCCUUCGGGUUGUAAACUGCUUUUGUACGGAACGAAACGGUGAGCUCUAAUACAGUUUGCUAAUGACGGUACCGUAAGAAUAAGCACCGGCUAACUACGUG